rnacentral:lncRNA from 1 species
AUAUCAUUUCCAUCGGGAUUACUAGAAUAAGGUGUUUCAGAUUCUUCUUUUAUAUUAUAUUCUCGUUUGUUAUUUUCAUUAUUAUCUAACAUAUGCGUUUGUUUGCGUAAGUCAACAUCUUUAUUUUGUUUUAUAUUAUCAAGUGUUUCUUGUGGUUUCCCUUUUUCGGUUAGUUUUUCUAGUGGACUGCUUGGGAGUUCCGUUCCCUGUAUGUUUUCUUCUUUUAUAUCACUAUCGACACAACAUUCGUUACUGUUUGUCACCUUUGGUGAACCUUGUUGGUGCUCUUGUUGGUGCUCUUGUUGGUGCUCUUGUUGGUUCUCUUGUUGGUGCUCUUGUUGGUGCUCUGGUUGGUGCUCUUGUUGGUGUUCUUGUUGUUGCUCAUGUUGCUGAUCAUGCUGUUCAUGUUGCCGAUCUUGUUGUUGUUCUUUCUUUUGUUCAUUGGAAUCAUCUUCCAAAUCAUUAGAAUAACUCGAAUAGUUAGCCAAAUUAAAAUUAUUUUUAUAAGUUAUAUUAGGAUGUGAGGAAUGUACCUGAUUAUAAUUUGUUUCAUUAAAUUUUUGAUAAAUUUUCAUAUCACUAUCAUGCAAAUGAUCAAUGAUGUUAUUAUUUUUCGGUGAUGUUAUAUCAAAAUUAAUAAUUUUUUUUUGUUUUGUUUUGUUUAAAAUUUCUAAGUUUUCAUAUUCGUUUUUGUUAUUAUUAUUACUAUUAUUAUUAUUAUUAUUAUUACUGUUAUAAAUAUUAUGAUCAUUACUAUUUCCAAAUUGUUUAGAUAUAUCUACUGGUGUUUUAGGUCUAUCAAUAUAAUCAUUUUUAUUAUCUUUUAAUGACGUGUUUUGUAUCAAUGGGUGAGCUAAAUUAAAUACAUAAGAUAAACUUUUACUUAUAUAUUUAUAAUAUGAUACUCCUUUUUGUUUAUUCGGAGUAUCAUCACUAGCAUCAUUGUUUGGGUUAAAAUUGGUUGAAUAACUAGAACUACUCCUAUUACGUAAUGUUGGUUCAUCAUAUAUUCUAUUAUAAAUACUUUUUAAUAGCACUUGAAUAAAUCCACAAGUGUCUUCA